UGAUCCUGGCUCAGGACGAACGCUGGCGGCGUGCCUAAUACAUGCAAGUCGAGCGGACCUUUUAAAAGCUUGCUUUUGAAAGGUCAGCGGCGGACGGGUGAGUAACACGUGGGCAACCUGCCUGUAAGACUGGGAUAACUUCGGGAAACCGGAGCUAAUACCGGAUAAUAUAAGGAACCUCCUGGUUCUUUAUUGAAAGAUGGUUUCGGCUAUCACUUACAGAUGGGCCCGCGGCGCAUUAGCUAGUUGGUGAGGUAACGGCUCACCAAGGCGACGAUGCGUAGCCGACCUGAGAGGGUGAUCGGCCACACUGGGACUGAGACACGGCCCAGACUCCUACGGGAGGCAGCAGUAGGGAAUCUUCCACAAUGGACGAAAGUCUGAUGGAGCAACGCCGCGUGAGCGAUGAAGGCCUUCGGGUCGUAAAGCUCUGUUGUUAGGGAAGAACAAGUGCGAGAGUAACUGCUCGCACCUUGACGGUACCUAACCAGAAAGCCACGGCUAACUACGUGCCAGCAGCCGCGGUAAUACGUAGGUGGCAAGCGUUGUCCGGAAUUAUUGGGCGUAAAGCGCGCGCAGGUGGUCCUUUAAGUCUGAUGUGAAAGCCCACGGCUCAACCGUGGAGGGUCAUUGGAAACUGGGGGACUUGAGUGCAGAAGAGGAAAGUGGAAUUCCAAGUGUAGCGGUGAAAUGCGUAGAGAUUUGGAGGAACACCAGUGGCGAAGGCGACUUUCUGGUCUGUAACUGACACUGAGGCGCGAAAGCGUGGGGAGCAAACAGGAUUAGAUACCCUGGUAGU
rnacentral:rRNA from 1 species